GACGAACGCUGGCGGCGUGCUUAACACAUGCAAGUCGAACGGAAAGGCCCUGCUUUUGUGGGGUGCUCGAGUGGCGAACGGGUGAGUAACACGGGAGUAACCUGCCCUUGACUUUGGGAUAACUUCAGGAAACUGGGGCUAAUACCGGAUAGGAGCUCCUGCUGCAUGGUGGGGGUUGGAAAGUUUCGGCGGUUGGGGAUGGACUCGCGGCUUAUCAGCUUGUUGGUGGGGUAGUGGCUUACCAAGGCUUUGACGGGUAGCCGGCCUGAGUGGGUGACCGGCCACAUUGGGACUGAGAUACGGCCCAGACGCCUACGGGAGGCAGCAGUGGGGAAUAUUGCACAAUGGGCGGAAGCCUGAUGCAGCAACGCCGCGUGCGGGAUGACGGCCUUCGGGUUGUAAACCGCUUUCGCCUGUGACGAAGCGUGAGUGACGGUAAUGGGUAAAGAAGCACCGGCUAACUACGUG
rnacentral:rRNA from 1 species